CCGGGUCCUGCAGGGUCCUGCGGCGCUCACUGCUCCCGCGUGGGUCGCCUUCCGAGGUCCUCCCGCCCACCAACAGAUGUGUGUGAAGAGGCUAAGCGUCCUUAAUGCCCUCUUUAUAUUCUGGAGAAUGGGGCGGCAUCCUCAGAGGACCAGAACCCAGCGAGGAGAUGCGCACUCACUGCUCGAUGCAGAUAAAACAGGGAUGACUGCAUGGGGACACAGCAAGAUGGUACCCAUCUCAAGCCAAGGAGAUGGGCCUUAGAAGAAAUCAAACCUGCCGACACCUUGAUCUUAGACUGCCAGUCUCCAUUAUGGGGCAGCUGAAAGCAUCCUCCUCAACGUGAAGGAGAGCCUUUGGACACGUGUGCCCCAUGACACAACCCAAGACCCUCCCUAUCACCUGCAGUGACCUCUUGUUCCAUCCACUCUGCCAUUUAUAAGAUCUCCUUGUCAGGGGAAAUGUUUAAAAAUCUGCAAUUACUUUUGAACUUGUUCCUAUGAUCCUCCAUACUCCCCUGGCCCAGGAUACCCCUCAGUGAUCCACUCUGACAACCCCAGCUAUUCCUAUCUGGUCUGCACUUUACCUUAAAAAAGGUCACUGACAGCCCUCGGUGAGCCAUGUAACAGCCCAUCAGCCCUGAGGUAGCCAGUCUUUCCCAACAUGGCUUUGUACUGAUAUGGCCCUCUGUCUCAAUAUGACCCCUUAACCCACUACAACCUCACCAUAAUAAACCCCCAAUGUUCUGAUAUUCCCCAUCACAUCC